UACGGGGGGGGCAAGCGUUGUUCGGAAUUACUGGGCGUAAAGGGCUCGUAGGCGGCCAACUAAGUCAGACGUGAAAUCCCCAGGCUCAACCUGGGAACUGCGUCUGAUACUGGAUGGCUUGAAUCCGGGGGAGGGAUGCAGAAUUCCAGGUGUAGCGGUGAAAUGCGUAGAUAUCUGGAGGAAUACCGGUGGCGAAGGCGGCAUCCUGGACCGGCAUUGACGCUGAGGAGCGAAAGCAUGGGGAGCGAACAGG
rnacentral:rRNA from 1 species